AACAUCGCGCACCUGCGGGAACCUGCGGAAGGAUCAUUACAGAGUUGCAAGACUCCCUAAACCACUGUGAACCUACCUUCUACCGUUGCUUCGGCGGGCGGGCCCAGCGCCCCCCCGGCCCCCCGCGGGCGCCCGCCGGAGGAUACCCAAACUCUUGACAUUAGUGGCCUCUCUGAGUAUUCUUUACUGAAUAAGUCAAAACUUUCAACAAUGGAUCU
rnacentral:misc_RNA from 1 species